CGCGUAAUAGGGGCACCCUCGCGUGAUGUCAGCAAUACCUAGGUAACCCUUGAAUAAACUACCCUUGUUGCUUUGGCGGGCCGCCGUCUCGGCCAGCGGCUUCGGCUGCUGCGCGCCCGCCAGAGGACCACAACUCUUGUUUUUAGUGAUGUCUGAGUACUAUAUAAUAGUUAAAACUUUCAACAACGGAUCUCUUGGUUCUGGCAUCGAUGAAGAACGCAGCGAAAUGCGAUAAGUAAUGUGAAUUGCAGAAUUCAGUGAAUCAUCGAAUCUUUGAACGCACAUUGCGCCCUUUGGUAUUCCGAAGGGCAUGCCUGUUCGAGCGUCAUUAUAACCACUCAAGCUCUCGCUUGGUAUUGGGGUGCGCGGUUCCGCGGCCUCUAAAGUCAGUGGCGGUGCCUGUCGGCUCUACGCGUAGUAAUACUCCUCGCGUCUGGGUCCGGUAGGUUGCUUGCCAACAACCCCCAAUUUUUUACAGGUUGACCUCGGAUCAGGUAGGGAUACCCGCUGAACUUAAGCAUAUCAAUAAGCGGAGGAA
rnacentral:rRNA from 1 species